AGUUUGUGCAAACUACUUCAUAUAGACUAUCUCUGCAACCUGAUUAAAGUCUCAUGUUGAUUUUUCUUUUCUUUUCCCUUGCAGAGGUUGAUGAUCGAGAUUAUGUUGAAGUAUUGCCUUCUUAGAUUUUUUAUGUAAUUGCUCAUAUACCAUGAAAGCGAGGAAAAGAAGUAGACAAAAAAGGAGAAAGAAACCAUUUACAGUACUUAUGUCUUGAUGACCUAUAAUGAACCAUUAAAAGGACUGUGGCUAAUGGCUACCUCUAUCUGGAUGGAAUAUGAACUGGAACGGAAUCUUCUGAACAGUGGAAACACUCCUGACCCACCUGACUUUUUAUAUACAAAUGUGUAUAAUGUAAAGAGCAAUUUUCUACACAUACAAUGCAUAGUUUUAUAGAUCUGC